rnacentral:rRNA from 1 species
CCAAUAGCGUAUAUUAAAGUUGUUGCAGUUAAAAAGCUCGUAGUUGAAUUUCGAGACCGGUUUAUUGGUCGUGCUUUUGUACGUACUGGUAUUAUUGGUUUCUCCUUUCUGACGAAUCUUAAUGCCAUUAAUUUGGUGUUUUGGGGAAUCAGGACUGUUACUUUGAAAAAAUUAGAGUGUUUAAAGCAGGCUCACGCUUGAAUACAUUAGCAUGGAAUAA